ACGACAUUUAUUGAGAUACACCUGUAUCUGUUUGAUUAAUAAAAGUUCUCUAGUACUUUAAUGUUUGUAAUGAUUUUAACUAGGGCUCGGCGAUAAUUCGAUAACGAUAAUUAUCAUCAGAAUAUAAUUUUCGUCGAUAAAACGAUAUGAAGAGUUCGAUAAAUGUUCGAUAUAAUGUUUAUGCGACACAAUCGGAACAAAACGGCGCGACUUAUUUGAAUCGCGCCACUUUGGCCGUUUGAUCAAAGUUCAAACUGCCACGACGAGCUCAUUAUGUCAUUAGAGCAUGUUUACACGGUCACGCUAACAUUAAGCAGCGCUGUGAGAUCCAGUGUGAAGCUCUUGAAUUCAGCGAUGAACACAAAUGACUCGGCUGGGACUCGGGAUAGUGGAGUGUGUGGUUUUGGGAAGCGAAGACACAAACCUACCACGAAUACGUCCAUUCACGUCCCAGUCUGAAUUUAUGACCUUCUAACAACGUGCCGGCUUUAGGCAUGGAGUCAAGAGGAUGAACUGAACUGUAUAAAGCUGUAUGGAUUCAUUUAUAAACGGAAAUCAAUAAACAAAAAUGAGAAAAUGAUUUCAUAGAAAGUA